GAUCACAACAUCUCUGCAUACAGGCUUUGGUCAUUUCAAUUGUGUAUAAUGGCACUCUGGGGAAGUGCCAUUGUGAUCAUAUUUUUAUAUAUCUGGGGAUGUAAUUCUCAAGACAAAGUUGAUCAGUAUACAAAGAUUCAAUCUGCUGUUGAAGGUGAUGAUGUAACAAUCAACUGUACAUAUCAGACUGGUUACUCAAACCCGACUCUCUUCUGGUACCAGCAGAAAGUAAAUGAAAUCCCCAAGUUCAUGCUAAAUAAAUUAUCUACAACCGGACAGAAUGAAGAUGAAUUUAAGGAGAGAUUUCAAGCAAAUCUCAGCAAAACAUCAGUUCCUCUGACAAUCCAGGAUUGCAAACAUGACGAUCCUUUAUGUUCUGCUUCUGCUAUUGAUGAUAAAAAGAGAGACGUUUGCACAGUCGAUAAAGCCGCAGGAAAACAAGGUGCUUAAAUCUGAAGGAGAAAAAGUCACUCUGUCCUGUAAAUAUAAUGGAUCUGUAGAAAACCUGCACUGGUAUCGUCAGUAUCUGGGAUCCAAACC